GAACAACAUGGAUGAAAACCCCGACACUAUAUCAUAAAUCGUCAAAACAAAAUUGAAAAACAAUAAAAAAAUCAGAUAAUCGAUUAGAAAAUAAUAAAGAAGAAAAAAUUCAGUUAUCUUCGGCUUCCUCAUAAUCUUCUGCUCUCUCUUCUCUAAUUGUCUCCAGCUUGGGAGAAUUGUUAUUAUAAUUACUGGAAGAAGAAGAAGAAGAAGAAGGUCUGGAUCGAAAGUCAAGUAGACAAGGUGGCGGGACCUCCAUUAAUGGAUUCUUCAAGCUUCUGAUCAUCAUCUCCUUUGCCAUCUGAUAUAAGAACAAGAAUCUUCUUGAAUCUCUCUUUCUCUUUAGGAUUUCCCAGCUGAGAGAGAGAGAAGUCAAAGAUUGGAGAAAUAAUAAUUUGGGAAAAGGGCCAAAACCUUUUGCUUUAAUUUCUUCUUAAAUUUUAAUUUUUUUUUCUUCUUAUGAAAGAAAAGUGUUUUGUUUGAAUGAAG
rnacentral:lncRNA from 1 species